rnacentral:lncRNA from 10 species
UUUUCCAGUAACCAUGAACCCUUAGCCUGAUCGUGUCCUAAGGAACCAAGGAAACCACAAUUAUCUCCAGAUGUAUAAAUAGCAAUUUGUUUGUUUUUAAAGCUCCCUAUUGAUUGUAAUAAGCAGUUGGAUUGGAUAAUCACUGUUUUAGAUCAAUGUCUCUCUAGAAUAUCAGUAUAAAAAUUCUAAAUAAAUAUUGAUAUUUGGAAUGCAGAAACGUAUUAAAAUAAUACAUCAUAUGACCAGGAUCUUUCAACUUUUAAGAUGUCUAAUAAUAUAAUAUUAAUGGAAGAAAAAUUAUAUAACCAUUUUCAUAGAUACUUAAAAGAUAUGUUGUGGAAUUUAAUAUUCAUUCCAAAUUAAAAAAAACAAAACCCACAAAAUGAU